AGUCUAAUCAAUCCGAAGGUGUACCACUAAAGAUCCGGGAUAUAAAAGGGAAAGAAUGGACGUUUCAGUUCAGAUUUUGGCCCAACAAUAACAGCCGCAUGUAUGUUCUAGAAGGCGUAACCCCGUGCAUGCAGAACAUGCAGUUGCAAGCUGGCGACACAGUGAUAUUUAGUCGAUUAGAUCCAGAAGAUAAACUUGUAAUAGGGUGUCGAAAGGCAACGGUUCUUGCAGACGCACCUGCGCUUCCUAACCCCGUUAACGGUGGAGCUCUUACAUGUACCGACAAUGGAAACUUACCGACAAAUAUGACACAAGAAGGCACCAGUA